GAGUUGUAUGGCGUAGACCCGAAACCGGGUGACCUAUCCAUGUGCAGGGUGAAGCGAGGGUAAAACCUCUUGGAGGCCCGAACCCAUAUCUGUUGAAAAAGGUUGGGAUGACAUGUGGAUAGCGGAGAAAUUCCAAUCGAACCCGGAGAUAGCUGGUUCUCCUCGAAAUAGCUUUAGGGCUAGCCUUGAGUUAAGAGAUACGGGGGUAGAGCACUGAAUGUCCUAGGGGCUUUCACCGGCUACCGAAGACUAUCAAACUCCGAAUACCGAUAUCUUAUACUCAGGAGUCAGACUAUGUGUGAUAAGAUUCAUAGUCGAAAGGGAAACAGCCCAGACCAUCAGCUAAGGUCCCAAAAUGUAAGUUAAGUGGGAAAGGAUGUGGGAUUGCACAGACAACUAGGAUGUUGGCUUAGAAGCAGCCAUACAUUUAAAGAGUGCGUAACAGCUCACUAGUCGAGUGAUCCUGCGCCGAAGAUUACCGGGGCUAAAACUUACUACCGAAGCUAUGGAAUUAGAGUAAUCUAAUUGGUAGAGGAGCAUUGUAUGAGGGGCGAAGCACGAUCGUAAGGACGUGUGGACAUCAUACAAGAGAGAAUGUUGGCAUGAGUAACGAGAGACGGGUGAGAAUCCCGUCCGCCGAAAACCUAAGGUUUCCUGAGGAAGGUUCGUCCGCUCAGGGUAAGUCAGGACCUAAGCCGAGGACGAAAGUCGUAGGCGAUGGACAACAGGUAAAGAUUCCUGUACCACCGAGAACCGAUUGAGAGAAGGAAUGACACAGGAGGUUAUGCUGAGCACGCGGUUGGAAGAGCGUGUCCAAGCAGCACGUCUGUGGCGUAGGCAAAUCCGCGCCAUGUAAGGACAAGCUGUGAUGGGGAGUGAAACUAGUAGCGAAGCAGCAGAUAUCACACUGUCGAGAAAAGUUUCUAUCGAGGGAGCAGGUGCCUGUACCGUAAACCGACACAGGUAGGAGAGUAGAGAAUACUAAGGCGAGCGAGAAAACCAUUGUUAAGGAACUCGGCAAAAUGACCCCGUAACUUCGGGAGAAGGGGUGCCGGAUCAGGUUCAGAGCUAGAUCCGGCCGCAGAGGAUAGGCCCAAGCGACUGUUUACCAAAAACACAGGUCUCUGCUAAAUCGAAAGAUGAUGUAUAGGGGCUGACGCCUGCCCGGUGCUGGAAGGUUAAGGGGAAGUGUUAGGGCAACCGAGGCACAGAACUGAAGCCCCAGUAAACGGCGGCCGUAACUAUAACGGUCCUAAGGUAGCGAAAUUCCUUGUCGGGUAAGUUCCGACCCGCACGAAAG
rnacentral:rRNA from 1 species